AUCAGUAACUUCAGAUUUUCAAGGAAAAUGACAAGAAAAUCGAAAAAUGAGAACCCAUUUUGUGUGGUCAUCUGUUUGUUCAUCCUGCAUAGCACGCCCGAAGUCUUACCUGUAGCUUCCUGUUUCAAGGGUAAUAACAUAGAGAUGAAUUAAAGUUUUUGGCAGAUCUGGUAGUGGAGUAGAAAAAAGCAUGAAAUACCUUCACAGCCCCUUCCCUGUCUUCCUCAGAGUACAUUCAAAAAUGUCUUACUGGAAAAGUAUAAUCCUCAAUUAACUGUAAGCAUUUCUGAGUUACUAAGACCAUGGUCAUUUAAUUUGUAUUAAACUACAGAUGAGGUUUAAGAAACAUUUUAAGAAUAACAGGAAGCCACAUCUAUAGCCAACAAAUAGGGAAAUCCAUUAACGAACUCUGCAGCACUGUUCAAGUCGAAUCUUAAUGUAACUGUGAUUUGCUUGGACUGUCCAUAAUUGCUGUAAUUAAAAGGGUGGCAGCCAUCAGAGGAAAACCAGGAAAUUCAAUCCAUUCAUUGACACUAGCAUGGAUCCUUAAAAACCCCAUCUUGCUCAGUGCUAAACUCUGGAUUGUCAUUGCUGCAGAGCUGAACCAUAGAUAUUUCUUCUCCACUGGCUCCAUUUUCAGUAACACCCAUCUGUACUCAGCAGAGAUUGCUGGGUUUUAGAAACAGUGCCAAAAACCAGCAACAACCCCCACCCCUGCUCUUCCCCAUCCCUGUCAAACCAUGGGGCCGUGCCCGGAGGACGGGCUGCCGCUGCUUUGGGGCGGGAGAGGGGGAUGCAGCAUCCCUCAUGGCUUUCGUCUCCUUCCCUUUGGUUUAGGGCCAGUUGCUUUUCCUAUGGAAUAACUGUACCUGUUCCUGUGUGAACAAACCCCAGCCCCAUCGUGCCCACAGCCCUGCUCUGCUCUGCCUCGCCACCCAGGGACCUGCAGCACUGCCAGGCUGCUGGAGGACAACACAGCAGAAGCCCCAGGGCAGUAGGUGCAGGUUUUACCAUCUGGGCACUCGUUAUUCACCAGCAGUAUCUGUGUGUGUUGGUAUUUGAGCACUCUCCCAUUUCUUGCAGCCCUGGUUCUCCUUGCUACAAAUUAAUAUUCUCACAACACCCCCCCCCCAAUCAGUCUUUGCUAAAAGCAUUAAUUAAGAUUUUAACAUUUUUGAUCCCAUCAAUUUUCUGUUCUCUUCUUAUUAAAUAGAUGUACUAGGGGAGUUUGAAUAAUAACUGCCCGAAGUUUGAGGAUAAUGAAUAAAUUAACUUUGCCAGCCUCUGGCUAAGCAUGAAAUUUACUGUGCAGUAACAAAUGGAACAGAGGCAGCUCAUGCAUUAACCAACCCAGUUUUGACACCAAGUUUGGGAGCACAUUAUUUACUCACCAAUUCUGAGUGAGACUAGGCUCCUGCGUAGUUUAUGCAGGCAAUGAAAACUGCCAUGGUCAGACAGUUUCUUGUGUGCUCCAUCACAGCGAGAAGCCGCUCACCUGCCUUCCCUUCGGCGGGGCCCUGGCCUCGUGCCACACGCAGGGAUGCUUUCAGGACUGCAUGUGUCCUCUUCCAGAGAGCACACCGGGAACUAGGAGGAAGACAAGUCACUGAGAAAUAUUCACUGCCCUUGAGGAAGAGCAGCAGCUGAUGAGGCACAGUUCGAACCCAGGUUACAGAAGACUCGCCCUCCCAAGCACACGUGGAAGCCAAGGACCAUGUUCUUCAGUGUCUCACCUCUGAUGCACUUCUAGGUUUGCAACCACCACCUCCCCAAGCUUUCUGAAGAGCAGUUCCUCUUUUUGUGGGAUGAUUAUGGAUUAUUCCACAAUCCAGGGGAUGCUACAGCUGCCAUUAAGGGGAUGAAAAUCCUUACAAGGAUUGUAACACCUUUGGCUUGAUUCACCUUUUUUCGGGAGGCCUGAUGAAAACCACAACUUACCUUGAGUGCUCUGCACUGUGGUCCUGUCCAUCUGACCACAUCUGGUACUAACAGCCCAGAGACAACGAUGUUGGCACAAGGAAACGCAGCCACAGCUGGUGACGAGCUGUCAGCACCUUCCGCAGGGUUUGGCAGAGCGUGGAGGGGUGUAAUAAAGAACUGAUUUCACUUCA